GAUGAACGCUGGCGGCGUGCCUAAUACAUGCAAGUCGAGCGAACAGACGAGGAGCUUGCUCCUCUGACGUUAGCGGCGGACGGGUGAGUAACACGUGGAUAACCUACCUAUAAGACUGGGAUAACUUCGGGAAACCGGAGCUAAUACCGGAUAAUAUAUUGAACCGCAUGGUUCAAUAGUGAAAGACGGUUUUGCUGUCACUUAUAGAUGGAUCCGCGCCGCAUUAGCUAGUUGGUAAGGUAACGGCUUACCAAGGCAACGAUGCGUAGCCGACCUGAGAGGAUGAUCAGUCACACUGGAACUGAGACAAGGUCCAGAGACCUACGGGAGGAAGCAGUGGGGAAUAUUGGAUAAUGGGCGAAAGCCUGAUCCAGCAAGGACGAGUGUGUGAAGAAGGUCUUCGGAUUGUAAAGCACUUUAAGUUGGGAGGAAGGGCAGUAAGUUAAUACCUUGCUGUUUUGACGUUACCAACAGAAUAAGCAACGGCUAACUUCGUG
rnacentral:rRNA from 1 species